CUACGGGUGGCUCCAGUGAGGAAUAUUGCACAAUGGGGGGAACCCUGAUGCAGCAACGCCGCGUGGAGGAUGACGCAUUUCGGUGUGUAAACUCCUUUUAUAUGUCAAGAAAAUGACGGUAGCAUAUGAAUAAGCACCGGCUAACUCCGUGCCAGCAGCCGCGGUAAUACGGAGGGUGCGAGCGUUACUCGGAAUCACUGGGCGUAAAGGACGCGUAGGCGGGUUGGAAAGUCAGGUGUGAAAUCCUACAGCUUAACUGUAGAACUGCACUUGAAACUUCUAAUCUAGAGUAUGGGAGGGGGGGAUGGAAUUAGUGGUGUAGGGGUAAAAUCCGUAGAUAUCACUAGGAAUACCUAAAGCGAAGGCGAUCUCCUGGAACAUUACUGACGCUAAGGCGUGAAAGCGUGGGGAGCAAACAGGAUUAGAUACCCGUGUAGUC
rnacentral:rRNA from 1 species